CAACCAAACUUAUGGCCGCCAUUGAGGAAAAGUAAUAAUAGAUAUGUCUCAAUCUUAGAUAUUUUUAUUGACAAACAAUAUGUAUCCGAUAUGAAAGGAAACCAAGCACAUAAUCCCAAUCAUGUUUGUUAUAGAUAACCCGUCUGCCCUGGAGCUCAUCUGUAAUCUCAGGCUCUCUGAUGGGAAAAAUUCUAAAAUACAGAGCGCAUAAUGUCAUGAGAUCUUUCGAAGUAUCAAAGCGACGUCAGAUGUGAAUUAUGCUAAGAAUCCUUCUAGUAACAGACUUCCUUAAAACCCUAUAAUAUUAUACCACCAAAAUGUGUCGCACGUUCAUCACAAACACAUUCAAAUGGAACAGAAAUAUAAACAUAGGCGUUAUCUUUUUCGUUCUGCAACAGGGCCGAAUCUUAUUGCAGACCGGAAUAUCCUUACCUCAAAGCUAUUCAUCACGUCAAUGUAAUGAAUCUACUCAUUGAAGAACAUUUUUAAUUGUGCAGAUAUUUUGACAACUGGGUCGAUUGCAACAGCUCUCAAACAUCAUUCGUGCUUGAUGUAUCGUCGCCCGCCCCGAUAUGUUACCAAACUUGUCUAAAAUCCUUAUGCAUACCUUGCACAAAGGGUUACAUGACCCUUUUAAGUUGAAACCAUGAUUUGGCGCGAACUUAUCGCUGUAUACGAAGCAAUAUCAUCAGACAACGUGUUUGUGACGAUUUGGCUCAAGUAUCAACAGUAUUGCUUGAAAAAGAAAAUAUUGACAAACAUAUUACAUCAUUUUAAAGAUUAGCGUCUUAUUGGUUUUGUGAUGCGUUACCACAGAUGGUUUGAAUGUAGGCUACAAGAUUUAAUACAUAAAUAUCUACUUCUACGUAACAAAGUAACUUUAGUUAAUGUAAUAAUAAAGUUGUACUGCAUACU